CACGAACAGGCCUGACAUGCAGCAUAAAUAUUAGUUCAAGUUCUUGUAGUGCGACAGAGCGCUCGGUCCCUCCAGGGUUCAUCUCCUCCAGAGGCGGUCAGUCCGCUGGUCGGCUGCUCUCUCAAACCUCAAUCGCUUUCCUUUGGAUGAACUAUAUAAAAGAAGACAUUAUUUCUCCUCCUCUUCCUCCCUUUCACUCGGCUGCAAACUUGUCUUUUCCUACUAAGUGCUGGGCUGUCUUGAAAGAUGAAUGCAUUCCCAUUGCCGAUCCCCUAUCCCAGUUUGUGUUUACGUUGAGCUGUACUGGGAGUUAGCCGUCACUGCAGGUUUAGCGUUAGAUCAUCCUCCGCCAUCCAACUCCCUGAUGCCACGAAUGCAUUAGCGUAGCGCAGAGUUGAGGGAAAUGGAGGAUGGCAGAGAGAGAGCAGGAGGAGGAGGAGGAGGAGGGGAAGAGUGGCAAAGUGACUUUAUUCCUUCUCUCCAGGCCUCUGGUUGAUAUCGACAGAUGCUAAAAGGAGCACUGGUACAUUAAUGGAGACGUUGUUGAUGGUGGCUACGCUAGGCUACGCUAGGAUAGGCUAGGCUAGGACGCCCUGGGCGAUUGGAUCUGAGCCGUAUUGACCUUCCAGCGACAUGCCACUGUGAGCUUUUAUUCAGAGGGGUAAUGGUAUUCAAAGACCUGUCUGAGGAGAGAGAUAGAGGGAGAGGACGAAGGAAAGAGAGAAGAGAGCAGGGGGCAUGCAGAAUAGUGUAGCGAUGACGAUGUCUGGCUCCCAGCCCGUGGGUUCUGGGUUUGAGACCCCCAAUGGCCGCGGUUUACCUGUGGGCCUCCUUGAACAUAUGCCCAUCUCCAAACUGUACCCAGAAAAAUGUAUUCACUGUAUGGCGUCACUGAUAACUUUCUCCGUACAACCUGUAAAUGAAUCAUUUACAUUGUUUCUUUGUAUUUGAUCAACACAUUUUUAAGCCCAGCAUUCGCUUUGAUCUGUGGUUUACGUUUUUUUGUCACAUUUUGGCCGCGUAAAAAUACUCUGACACUGUACUUUCUCAAUUGGACACCUUCCUCUUCCUCCUCAUGACUUUGGAAGGGCUCUUCAUCGUACUGGAGUGUGAGUCCACCGUGACAAGGCCUCUGAUCUCGGAGGAGGUCGGACAGGGCAUCCACUGCCUACAAGGGCAAUCCAUCCCAGUCGACCAUGGCACCAUGUCAACGGGGACAGGGGUGUGCUAAGGGUCAGAGCUGGGCGGGGGGGGGGGCUCAGGGCCUUGACCUGAAGACCAAUGUUCCCCCUGGUCGUUACACAGGCUAUGAUCAUUCCCAUGGAGGACACCGACAUGACUCAGUGAGAGAGAGGAGCUCUGGUUCCACUGGGAGCACUGGAACGCCCACCAUGGUUCUUACAGUGGAAGCUGUGUAUCAAGUGGAUGGGAUUGUGUGUGUGUGUGUGUGUGUGUGUGUGUGUGUGUGUGGAAAACCCAUCAGCAUGAAUAAGUGAUGGCGCCCGCCGCGGGAGUCAAACAGCGAGAGCAGCGAUCCACGAGGACGGGGGAAUAUGUGAAACACGGCAGCGUUUAGCCGCUCGUGUACUGACACGGCGCUGUCCAGAACCUGGGGAGGGACGGCGGCCGAGUGCACCCCCAAAAUCAAUACACGGGGACGGGGAGAGGCGGAGCUCUGAACCCCUCUCUGUGGUACGGAGCCCCAAUGGUUAACGUUGAUGUCAUCAUGGAGGGCGGCCAAUGGUGGGCCGGUCAAACCUUUAAAUAAAACGAUUGCACUGGACAGUGAUGAAUUAACAGCUGGCAGCUUCUUAAUUAACUACUGUUAAUUUAUUAUUACUAUUCAGCCAUUUAGUGGGUGCUUUAUUCAAAGCGGCCAACAGUUCAUCCUACAGAUGAACGUGAUAACGAGCAGGUCAGGGUAAGGGCGUCUAGCUCGUGGAUGCCUUCUGGUAAGGAUCCCAGCCUGUGGACAUCACAGGGCUUCAAACCCAGAUCCUUUCAGCCUGGAGACAAACGCCCCAGACAACCACUUGACUACCGUGCCCUUUUGGCUGCGAUCGCCUCCGCUCCAGAAACGCUUCAUGCAGGCUUUUGUGGAGCCAUUUCAAUCUUAAAAGCGAUUCCACUGGACAGCAGCGAGACAGAUUGAUGGCGGCUACUCCUACGCGCAUAGAACCCCCUAUCACAGGAAGUGCGCCCACAAAUAAAAGACAGGAGUCCCCGUAAGACACCCAGACUAUACACUACAAUGUACAUACAGUAUAUUCACUUAAAAGGGAC
ensembl:lncRNA